rnacentral:lncRNA from 1 species
CUUUGGUGAGACAGAAGAACAAUGGGCUUCUCUGAUUGGUCAGCACUAUAUUGUGGAUCACUUAUAUUCUGAAAAAUUUGGAAUCCAUAUUUGAAAACUAAUAAAAGGUGAGACAAACAGCACAAUUUUAAGGCAGUAAGAGAUUGUGCCCCAUGUUCCUUUGCCAUAACAGGGGCAUAUGAAGCCAUGAAUCUGAAGAUGUAGCUGGGAUCAGAGUUUAGGCAUAAGAUUAAAUGCUAGCAUCUCCCUAAGUUUAGAAUAAACAAAUACAUUGGCACAGGAAUCCUGAGAAUCAAGCUGGAUAUGGACCGGGUAUGGGCCAGAUGCUGACAUCCAGAAGAUGAAACAGUCAGAAAAGUGUGAGUUAAAGCAGCAUUAGACUUUCUAGGCUGAAGAGCUCAGGUUGAGCUUUGAGAUAAAAAGUAAGAAGAUAAAAUUUUAGCGGAGAACCUAAAAAUAGGGAUGCAAUAGGCCGGGACACAGAAAUGUGGUUUGAAUCUUCAAGCUUAGCAAUGCUCACUGGCUGUCUCCCCUGGCUCUAAACAGUCUCCCUGUUGUGUGCAGAUAAGAAACGGCAGGUAUAAGCUGCUUUCAGGAAGAAAGGGAAGGUUUUUGAAAUGCCAGUGCCUGCAGGGAAGGUGCUUCUCACCAGCUAACUAACAACUGAUUUUAAGUACCCAAAGCUAAUGAAGGAUCCCUAAGGGCAAAGACACACUGUACUAAAAUGCUAAACCAAGGAUUAAGUUCAAACAUUCUAGGUAAAUUUACCUUUAAAGUCAAGAUGCUUACAUGAAUUUGUUCAAUCAUGCCUUCAUUUUCACGAUUCUUUCUUAAGACAGAGUCUUCUAAAUUUCAAUCUGUAUUCAAUUUAUUUACUCAAGUUUCUAUUCUUCGUUGCCCUCCUCUUCCUAUUUUGUUUGUGUUAUGCAACUGAGGUUACUUUUUUGUAAAAUCAUAUUAGUGAAUGUCUAGCGUAAAGAGAUAACUAUUUUUUUUUCUCCUUAUCGCUUCACUCAUAUUAUGGAAACUUCCCAUAUGCUCUUCUUAACGUCUUAUUCCGCAACUCAUGAUGCUUGAGGAGUGAGUCAUAUGAACGACCUAUCUGCUCAUAGUCACCUGAUCCAAUAAAUGAGAUUCUCUUUCCUUGGAUUUUGUAAUUGAUUUAGAGACUCUUGUUACUUCCUGUGGAACCCGUGGAUUGGAAGGUUAUCUAGGCUGCUGCAGAACUCUUCCACCCUGUGCACAGAGAAGUACAUAAAGUGGGAUCUUUCUCAGUGGAGCAGUAUAUAAAACAGAUGCAGACUGAAGGAUGUUAGAAGCACAAAGAAGGUCAUGUGCACGACAUUCAGCUGAGUACAAAAUUCAACAUCUGGAAGAGUAGAGACAGGGUUUCACCAUGUCACCAUGUUGGCCAGGAU